GGGGCAUUAGCUCAUCUGGCUAGAGCGUUAGACUGGCAGUCUAAAGGUGACGAGUUCGAUCCUCGUAUGCUCCACCA
rnacentral:tRNA from 1 species